CUACCUUUCCGUCCGGGAUAACUAGCCGAAAGGUUAGCUAAUACCAGAUACGCUCAUCGAGCGGCAUCGCUUGAUGAUGAAAGCAGCAAUGCGCGGAUUGAGGAGCCUGCGGCCCAUUAGCUAGUUGGUGAGGUAAUGGCCCACCAAGGCAACGAUGGGUAGCUGGUCUGAGAGGACGACCAGCCACACUGGGACUGAGACACGGCCCAGA
rnacentral:rRNA from 1 species